rnacentral:tRNA from 1 species
GCGCCGCUAGUUUACCGGUAGAAUUCAUCCUUGCCAAGGAUGGGAACCGGGUUCAAUUCCCGGGUGGCGCA